UACGUAGGGUGCGAGCGUUGUCCGGAAUUACUGGGCGUAAAGCGCACGUAGGCGGCUUUGUAAGUUAGAGGUGAAAGCCCGGGGCUCAACUCCGGAAUUGCCUUUAAGACUGCAUCGCUAGAAUUGUGGAGAGGUAAGUGGAAUUCCGAGUGUAGAGGUGAAAUUCGUAGAUAUUCGGAAGAACACCAGUGGCGAAGGCGACUUACUGGACACAUAUUGACGCUGAGACGCGAAAGCGUGGGGAGCAAACAGG
rnacentral:rRNA from 1 species